AGAGUUUGAUCAUGGCUCAGAACGUACGCUGGCGGCACGCCUAACACAUGCAAGUCGAACGAAGUAGCAAUACUUAGUGGCAGACGGGUGAGUAACAUGUGGGUAUCUGCCCUUUGGCCUGGAAUAACACGAGGAAACUUGUGCUAAUACCGGAUAAGUCUUUACGGAGAAAGCUUUAUGCACCAUUGGAUGAGCCCGCACUUGAUUAGUUUGUUGGUGGGGUAAUGGCCUACCAAGACUGUGAUCAAUAGCUGAUUUGAGAGG
rnacentral:rRNA from 1 species